UUUUUUUUUUUAGGAUUCUUUGAAUAAUAGGACGUUCAAAUAACAUAUAGGAAUGUCGCUUAUGUACGUACUGGACUUUUCCAAGUUUGUGGUACUACAUUUUUUUUUUUUUGGUAGGUUUAGAAGCCUAGAAUAGCUCUUUGGAGUCUAGCUCUUCUUAUUUGCUAGUUUUUAGUCUGCUUUCAAAGACACAGGCUCCCCUUUUCAUUUGUCCGACUUGAUUACAAAUAACAAAAGAAAGUAAUAAAUUCUGAGUGAAUCUUUUGUCAUGUAAAUGAUGGAACCGUUCGCCUCACAAAAGAGCGGUUGCCAAAAAUGUGCGUAACGCAGUCCAGGGCGUUUGCCAGUGCUUGGAAAAUGUGAAUUUAAAAAUGCAUGAAUGUUUGUAAGUAUGAUACAUAACAUUUGGGCCGAUUUGGAACGCGCCUAAGAUGCCCACAGAUGUUUUCUAGGGGCUCGCAGAUUUUUGACACAACCUGACGGUUAUAGGCGACAGCGGGGUUCCUCUCUGAAAGAGACUUUACACGCUUUAUGGGUGGUCGGAUUUGCCAGGAGAAAGCCUGAGAGAAAUGUUUUUGACCGUUGAGGGGGAAAACAAUAUUUGUUUUGGAGAAGUGUUUGUGUCUUUCUCGAGGGACAGCUGUACCACACACAUCCCUUUCUAACGUUUCACUGAGUGCCAGGCAGUCUGAUUGUUACUCAGGGAAGGACACACCUUAUUUCUGA
ensembl:lncRNA